rnacentral:rRNA from 1 species
AGUAACUGUUCAUACGUUGACGGUAUUUAACCAGAAAGUCAGGGCUAACUACGUGCCAGCAGCCGCGGUAAUACGUAGGUGGCAAGCGUUAUCCGGAUUUAUUGGGCGUAAAGAGAGUGCAGGCGGUUUUCUAAGUCUGAUGUGAAAGCCUUCGGCUUAACCGGAGAAGUGCAUCGGAAACUGGAUAACUUGAGUGCAGAAGAGGGUAGUGGAACUCCAUGUGUAGCGGUGGAAUGCGUAGAUAUAUGGAAGAACACCAGUGGCGAAGGCGGCUACCUGGUCUGCAACUGACGCUGAGACUCGAAAGCAUGGGUAGCGAACAGGAUUAGAUACCCUGGUAGUCCAUGCCGUAAACGAUGAGUGCUAGGUGUUGGAGGGUUUCCGCCCUUCAGUGCCGGAGCUAACGCAUUAAGCACUCCGCCUGGGGAGUACGACCGCAAGGUUGAAACUCAAAGGAAUUGACGGGGGCCCGCACAAGCGGUGGAGCAUGUGGUUUAAUUCGAAGCUACGCGAAGAACCUUACCAGGUCUUGACAUCUUGCGCCAACCCUAGAGAUAGGGCGUUUCCUUCGGGAACGCAAUGACAGGUGGUGCAUGGUCGUCGUCAGCUCGUGUCGUGAGAUGUUGGGUUAAGUCCCGCAACGAGCGCAACCCUUGUUACUAGUUGCCAGCAUUAAGUUGGGCACUCUAGUGAGACUGCCGGUGACAAACCGGAGGAAGGUGGGGACGACGUCAGAUCAUCAUGCCCCUUAUGACCUGGGCUACACACGUGCUACAAUGGACGGUACAACGAGUCGCGAACUCGCGAGGGCAAGCAAAUCUCUUAAAACCGUUCUCAGUUCGGACUGCAGGCUGCAACUCGCCUGCACGAAGUCGGAAUCGCUAGUAAUCGCGGAUCAGCAUGCCGCGGUGAAUACGUUCCCGGGCCUUGUACACACCGCCCGUCACACCAUGAGAGUUUGUAACACCCAAAGUCGGUGGGGUAACCUUUU